UCUAGACAACCUCAGAUUGGAAGACAAGGACACACUCAUAAGGAAAACCUAACUACACUUUCCAGUGAAAAUGCUUAACGCAGUGACAGUCAAAGCCUUGUCAGUUAAAAUCCUGUAUGGUCUCUUUGAAGUUGCAGGUGUAGGCGCCUCUGCGUCUGCGCUGGCUGUGCCAUUUAUAUGCACUGCUGUUGCAGUAGCGGGUCUUUCGGCUGCAUACAUCACUCACAAAGUUCACCAAAUGGAAAAAAAGCGUUAUUGACGCAUCCAUGGAGGACGAUGGGAUGACCCUGGAGAUUGAAAAUCUCAUGUUGCAUUGCUUUUGAUGAGCUGCCCUGUGUUAAUUGUCGGUAUUUAUCCGGCUGCUGAAAUUUCCCUGUAGUUGACUAUUGCAUGGCUGUGAUUCUUAUACAUAGAAGGAAGAUGGAUUGCCAGGUUUUUAAAAUAGCAUUGUGAAUUGCCCUCUGAAAACAGAAUUGCAGUUCAGUGCUCAAACUACUAUAUCACUGAUUGGGAAGCCACUUAUUGGGAAAUUGAAGGUUGUUUUCUUGAUUUGCGGGGGAAGCUGCUUGCAAUUAUAUUAAUAAUUUCAGCCUAUGCCGUUGAGCCAUAUAUGAAACCAAUUACUUUUAAAAUAAAGCUUUUGAACUCUGGAAAA